rnacentral:rRNA from 1 species
CUGGGCUUGACAUGGACUAGAAAUCCUCAGAGAUGAGGGCUCCCUUGUGGCUGGUUCACAGGUGGUGCAUGGCUGUCGUCAGCUCGUGUCGUGAGAUGUUGGGUUAAGUCCCGCAACGAGCGCAACCCUCGUUCCAUGUUGCCAGCGCGUUAUGGCGGGGACUCAUGGGAGACUGCCGGGGUCAACACGGAGGAAGGUGGGGAUGACGUCAAGUCAUCAUGCCCCUUAUGUCCAGGGCUUCACACAUGCUACAAUGGCCGGUACAAAGGGCCGCUAAACCGUGAGGUGGAGCGAAUCCCAUAAAGCCGGUCUCAGUUCGGAUCGGGGUCUGCAACUCGACCCCGUGAAGUCGGAGUCGCUAGUAAUCGCAGAUCAGCAACGCUGCGGUGAAUA